UAAGUUUGGUUCUGGCUUUGUGUUUUGGCUGUAACUAUAAUAAAUACAUGGUUCUUUAUGGGGUUAGUGAGUAGUGGGUCGUGAAUAAGUGUAUAAGGUGGUUUAAUACUUCUGUAUAAGCUCGGCUUGACAUAAUUUUUAUAUGACGUCUAGAUUCUUUCACUUGUAACACCAGUAUUGAAGGUUAAUUAGGAUGAGCGUAAGCUUGAAUUAGUGAUUGUUAAUAGGUCUGGUGAAAUAUGUGCCAGCCUCCGCGGUUAGACGUAUAGGCCUAGUUAAUAUGUUCGGUAUAAAAUAUGGUUAGGGAAGUUAAUUGAAAGAUUUAGAAUGGUUUUUUCUUGGGUGAAAUUUAGGGAAAAUGUUGAAUGUUGUUUGAAUCUUUGAUUCUUGAAGCCAUGAAAUUUUUGAGAGAAACCGGGAUUAGAUACCCCGUUAUUCAAAAAUGUAAAUGUUAGUGUUGCUUACCUGGGUAGUACGGGUUCAUACUUAAAACUCAAAGAACUUGGCGGUGCCUUAAAUCUUUUUAGGGGAAUUUGUUCUGUAAUCGAUAAUCCGCGUGUGACCUCACUCUCUCUUGUACAGACAGCUUGUAUACCGUUGUCGUCAGGUUACUUUUUAAGAAAAUUGGAGUUGGCUGCAGGGAGAAUGUGUUAAUAUCAUGUACCCUUUACGUCAGAUCAAGGUGCAGCUAAUGGGGGAGCAAGAAAUGAAUUACAAUAAGUUAAUUUUUAUACGGAGUUUUUUCUUAAAUGGAGAGAUGAAGGUGGACUUAAUAGUAAGCGCAAUAUUAGAAAGAUUUGUUGAAAUUGGCUCUAAGGCGUGCACACAUCGCCCGUCGCUCUCGUUGAGAAAUGAGAUAAGUCGUAACAUAGUAAGGGUACCGGAAGGUGUUCUUAGUUGAU
rnacentral:rRNA from 1 species